GUGUGAGCACAGCCAUAGCAAACGCGACCCCCAAGGGCCAAAUGAAUGUCCACAGAUGGAGUCCAGCUAGUGCUUCUCUACAGCUUCAGCUGCCCUAGCCAAGGGCCUAGCACACAGCAGGGGAUCCUAACGCAGGGCGGCUGUGAGGAGCGGAUGACAUGCUUGUGAGGCUCCUACCACGUUCGACCCGGGCUCUCCUGGAGCUGAAGACACAGAGCUGGCUUUUCCUAACAACACGCACAUGCAGAGGAACCAUCCUGUGGGUGGUCGCUCCACCUUCCUGCGAGUGGUCAGUCACCAGCUCGGAGGCACGGGGUGCCAGGACCUAGCAGGCCAGCGCCCAGCAUGGCCUGAGACGUGAGUCGUUAAGCCGCAGAACCCUGAGGUGCUUAGGCUCUAUUCAGGCCGCACCGAGAUGCUACUUGUUGCAAAUUAAAUAACCAGGGUU